CUCUCUCACACACGCACACAAAACACUCGCAUACUGUUGUAGUCUUUGUAGAUGCAUCAGUAACAUACCUUCUGUUGGAUGUCUUUCUGCACUUGAAUUUCAAUUCAAGAAGCUGCUCUCCAUCGUAGAGAUACUGUGUGACUGCUUCACUUAAUCAAGACAAGUUGGGAUAAGCUUGGUUGACUUGAGCAAACGUCUGAAUGAAGUUCAUGCAGUAUGGUGCUUAUCUGAUCACUAGUCAAAGUUAUGGUGUUUUGAAGAGAAAACUCAAGCACAAGAAGGUGGAGCGCAUCAAAAUCAUUCAAUUGGGCUAUUGAUUGUGUACUACAUGCCCGUUGCCCUACUUUUUUUCUUUUUCUUCAAAUGUUUGGAAUAUGCUUGUUCUGUUUGUAUUAACCAUGGUGCACUAAACACUAAUUUGUGACAUAAUAUUAAGUAGAAUUCCCAA